rnacentral:rRNA from 1 species
GACGGACGCUGGCGGCGUGCCUAAUACAUGCCAGUUGAGCGAUGAAGAUUGGUGCUUGCACCAAUUUGAAGAGCAGCGAACGGGUGAGUAACGCGUGGGGAAUCUGCCUUUGAGCGGGGGACAACAUUUGGAAACGAAUGCUAAUACCGCAUAAUAACUUUAAACAUAAGUUUUAAGUUUGAAAGAUGCAAUUGCAUCACUCAAAGAUGAUCCCGCGUUGUAUUAGCUAGUUGGUGAGGUAAAGGCUCACCAAGGCGAUGAUACAUAGCCGACCUGAGAGGGUGAUCGGCCAAAUUGGGACUGAGACACGGCCCAAACUCCUACGGGAGGCAGCAGUAGGGAAUCUUCGGCAAUGGACGAAAGUCUGACCGAGCAACGCCGCGUGAGUGAAGAAGGUUUUCGGAUCGUAAAACUCUGUUGGUAGAGAAGAACGUUGGUGAGAGUGGAAAGCUCAUCAAGUGACGGUAACUACCCAGAAAGGGACGGCUAACUACGUG